rnacentral:misc_RNA from 1 species
UAAGAUGGGCCGGUCCUCUGACCC